GAAACACGGGAGCGCAGGCCUUGACCAUCAGUGUGACCUCGAGGAGUCUUGGAGCUCAGUUGUGGGUCAGUCUCUUCCUUUGCCCAAUAGGUCGGGGAUGAGGUCAGCAGAAAUGACACGGAAAUCUUCACUACCAGAUGCCAGUUGUCUAGAGGGGAGACAAUGAGGAUGAAGGGGGUUGACAUGAGAAAUGGUGUGCCAAAAAACCCAGGAAUUGUCAGCCAACAACAUGUUUUAAUCAAAAGAGAAGUGUGGAAUCUUUAAAACAAACACAAACAAACACAAAACAAGUACCACACAAUUCUGAAUAGUUUGAUACAAAAUUCUCAGUGGAAAGAACACAAACAAAAAUGCUAAAGGAGGAAAAUCUCAAUUUAAUACAAAGUGUUCUCUGGUUAGUGGAAGGGGUAGGGGACUACUCUUUUGGGUGGACACCUGGUAACUUCAUGUGCCCUGUGUGAGCACUGGCGUCUGGAGGGUGCAGAAGCCCAGGACUGAAGCGAGCA